UAUUUAUUCAUGUAAGAAGUGUUUAUUUAGCAACUAUUCUGAACUAGACAGGGCUGAGCAUUAAUAAUUCAAAUCAUUCUUUCAGUGAAUAUCACCAUUGCUCUGAAAGUUGCUACGGAUAGUAUAAAAUUCAAGUAUAUAUUUGCAGCUUCAUAAUUUUAAGCAUAUUCUUAUAUUUAAAAACAAUGAGUGAGAGUAUUAUCUUUAGUAAAAAGCUUUUAACUUUGGAAUAAUUUUUGAGUCCUAGAAAAGCUGCGAAGUAGUAUCGAGCGCACCCUUACCCCCUUCAGCCAGCUUCCCCUAAUAUUAAACUAUUAUAGAGCCAACCACAGUUUGCAACAAUCAUAGACCAAUUCGCAGUGGCCCUAUUGUAUCCUAUUGUAUCAAUAACGAAAUGUCAAAGUUAUUUUCCAGGGGCGAGGAGCAAAACUGCAUGAACAAAAACUGCAAGUCAUGUCUCUGGAGGAUGCUCAGAAGGUGGAAACCUUAUCCUCGGAUGAUCUCGAGCCACCUAGGAACCAAAAGUUCCGUAACUACAGAACUCAACGUGAAGAGACAGCGGAAUGAGGAAUCUAAUAAGAAGCCCUUCACACUUUUGAAGAUUACUAGUCAGAUUAACCCUGAGCUACCAUCUGCCACCAAUCCUCUUCUUUUUGCUGAGGAAGACUGGCCCUGAGCUAACAUCUGUGCCCAUCUUCCUCUACUUUACAUGUGGGACGCCUGCCACAGCAUGGCUUGCCAAGAGGUGCAGAAGUCCUCACCUGGGAUCCAAACCGGUGAACCCCGGGUCACCAAAGUGGAACGUGCACACUUAAUGGCUGCACCACCGGGCCAGCCCCUUGAUAUUAUAUUUAAAUAUAAUAUGAAAGAGCAUACUCAA
rnacentral:lncRNA from 1 species